GAUGAACGCUGGCGGCGUGCCUAAUACAUGCAAGUCGAGCGAACGGACGAGAAGCUUGCUUUUCUGAUGUUAGCGGCGGACGGGUGAGUAACACGUGGAUAACCUACCUAUAAGACUGGGAUAACUUCGGGAAACCGGAGCUAAUACCGGAUAAUAUUUUGAACCGCAUGGUUCAAAAGUGAUAGACGGUCUUGCUGUCACUUAUAGAUGGAUCCGCGCUGCAUUAGCUAGUUGGUAAGGUAACGGCUUACCAAGGCAACGAUGCAUAGCCGACCUGAGAGGGUGAUCGGCCACACUGGAACUGAGACACGGUCCAGACUCCUACGGGAGGCAGCAGUAGGGAAUCUUCCGCAAUGGGCGAAAGCCUGACGGAGCAACGCCGCGUGAGUGAUGAAGGUCUUCGGAUCGUAAAACUCUGUUAUUAGGGAAGAACAUAUGUGUAAGUAACUGUGCACAUCUUGACGGUACCUAAUCAGAAAGCAACGGCUAACUACGUG
rnacentral:rRNA from 1 species